rnacentral:tRNA from 1 species
ACCUGGCUGGCUGAGUUGGCAGAGUGUGUGACUCUGGAUCUCCAGCUUGUGAGUUCAAAUCCCACAUCGGGUG